GCCGGAAUAGCUCAGUUGGGAGAGCGUUAGAUUUAAGAUCUGAAGACCUCCCGGUUCAAUCCCGGGUUCCGACA